AUUUAUCAAGUAAAUUUCUCAUAGUCAGAUAUAAUUUCCCUUAAAAUAAAUCACUUUAAAAUGAAAAAAAUUGUGACUAUCUUCCAUAGAAAAUAUUUCCUGUUUUAGAAUAUCAAUCAUCUUUGUAAUGUGCAGGUUUAUUUUUAUUGUUCCCUCAUUUGGACAUAAAUGACCUUGUUGGGUCACUUGGUUAGGUUAGCUGCCGUAGAGGCCGAUGAGAGCCCGUCGGCAGGUUUAGGCAGGGACGAGCAACUUCAGAAGGAUGAACUGGCCCAUCAGGUGCAUGGGCCAUAAAACGUGGCUCUGUAGGACACAGUGUUCCUGAUGACAGCAGUAAAUCUGUUUCAAAUAAAGUGAGCUGUUUGCUUAAACCUCCCCGUGUUCUGCCAGACCUUUGACGCGGCAAACCAACUCAAUAUAGAAAUGAGUGAGCCCUUAGGCUGCAGGACGGAUACACUCAAAGUACAGAUUGUUGUGUCAAAAUUGCAUUUAGUCACAUAUGACACAAUGCUCUAGUGAAGUAUUUGGCAUGCUGCUUUUGAGAACUUUCUAUUUGAAGAGAAUUGCUCCUUCUAUUAUUGUUCCAUCAUAAUUUACCAAUUAUAUUCUUUCAACAUAGCAUACCACUUUCCUGAAGAGAUGCCUAUUUCUUCAUCCCUGUGAUAAAUCUAUGGUCUUUUAAUUUAAUUUUUUCAAUAAAAUUAUACAAGGAAAAAUGUGCUUAGCAUCCCAAGGAAGCAUGGAUUAUUUAAAAGUAAGCCUAGACAUUUUUCUUUUAUUUUUACAUCCACGCUUUUUUGUGCUACCCUUUCUUCAGUGAAGAUUGCUUCAAAUAAAGCUGUCUGAGAGAGAGACAUGGUUGCUAGGGAGCCAGGCACGAUGGCGUAUGUUGCCAGGGAGGAAAGAGAGGUGAGUCCCUGAUUAUAGAAGAAAACCAUUUUUCAUUCUCCUUGAAAGCAAAGCUUCUUUAUAUACACAUGACAAGUUCACUAACUCACCAGGAGUAAGGUUUCAGAGAGAAAUAUGGAAUUUUAAUACGUUUCCCAGAGGGGAAGUAAACCUCAGGACAUUUCCUCAGGAUGAAGGAGUGGGGUUUAUACUCACCCAUAUCUUAUUCUGUGGUGGGAAAUCUUUCCAAAGGAGCAAUACAGGCAAAUCUCUGGCUAAUGAAACUGGACAUGCUCUCUAAGAGCUUGGCCUUGUCACCUGGGUGGAGUGAGUAUAAUCUCUGGCAAAUAUUUUUUUCCAUCUUCAUGUUUGGUCGUGCCAGUAAAUAAACGCUUAUCGCAGCUCUGUAUGAGUUAGAUAUUUUACUAGAGAUUUUUUAAUGCAUUUUCUUAUUUAAUCUCAUAACCUGUUGCAAGAUGUUAUCAUUUCAAUAAACACAAGGAACAAUUCCAGUCGGAGUAGAGAGAAGAUUUGAAUGUCAAUCAGUGUCACUAUCUUCUCUGCUUACACAUCUCAGUAAUUCCAUUGCUACUGAAGAAUCAGUUCAAUCCAUAGACACCCCAGAUUCAUAUAAACAAGAGCAUAAGCACUUUUUCUUUUUAACAAAUAUUUUUUUUAAAAAAAACCAUAAAUGCUGAAGUUUAAUGAAAUAAUAUUAGAGAUUUGUCUGGUUGUUGAAAAACAAAAUGUGUUAACAGCAUUUAGGUUUAAGUUUAGAAAAAUUGCUGCCUCAUUGUUGGGCUCCCUUUAGAGUGUAAAUAGCCUAGACAAUACGGCUUGUCUAGGAAAAGGACUUGCUGACAAGAUACCGAGUGUGCAUGAUUUUCCAAGAUGCACAAGAUGGUGAUUACAAAGGAUUCUUUGCAAUGCAGUGGAAAUAUUGCCAGAUUAUAAAAGAAAAGCAUUUUCAGUAAAACUGCCCCAGGAAUAUUUCAAAUUGUCAACCAGACAACCUUAUCAGCCAUGUGUUUAGGAAUCUUCAACCUCUUCUGCCCUAGAAGUCUUUAGAGGAAUCCCAAGGCUGAGCGCAUCUACCACUUCUAAGAUAAAGUAGUUCUCCUGGUCAACAUGCUCACUUAGCUGGUUUUAAACAAGGGUGCAUGGAAUUGAUCUGUACCCGUAGAAAAGAGAUUGCUCAUGUUUUAUUUCAUAUGGAAAAAAGGCACUAGUCAAGCUUACUAAUUCACUGGAAGCCUAUUGGCUGAAGAAACCACAUUUUAUAAACUAAAAUCAUUUUUAGAAGACAAAAGUGGGCUUUUGUUUGAGACAAAGUCUUGUUCUGUAGUCAGGGUGGCCUGGAACUCACAGUGCAGUCCUGGCUGGACUUGAACCAAAGCAAUCCUAUUACCUCUGCCCUCCAAGUGCUGGAAUUAUAGGCAUGAGCCACCGUGCCUGUCUUUAAAGUGGAUUUAUAGGUUGAAACAGUGAACAAGAUAUAUUACCUACCUGAGUGGAACCAAGUAAGACAGUCAUUGUGUCCACUUUUCAAAAGUGCUAACUAGAUAAUUUUAUGGUAGCCGGCAGUGGAGCAAAGGUUAUUUAAUGCUCAUCAAUAGGACUAUUGCACAUGGGCUUGGAUAUGAGAACAUUUUCCAGUCUACCAUCAUACUCCCUUGUAUAAACCCAAUUUAGUAUGAUCUUAGAAGCUAGCCAGGGUCAGGCCUACUGAGUUUGAUCCAUUCCUCAGGGACACUUUUGGGUUGAUCACUAUAAGAGACAGAAUAUUUGAUUAGGUGAACUGGGAAGGUCUACCAAAUGCCACCCUACUUUAAUUGCUAUUGCUUAGAGACGUGGUGUUUGGGGAUUACUGCCUUAUUGGCUACCCAUGAAGUUGGUGCUGCCAACUUAUCUCCCAGGAGGGUGUGGUCAAGCUUUUAAUUGACUCCCACUUCAGAGGCUGUGAUACUGUGGCAUCAACCCUUGCGGUAAAACUGAACCUUGAACAGGGCCCAAGAUAAGGGAUUUAUUUGAAAGACAAGACGCCUUUCUUAAACUCACAGGUGCUUGUAAAGCAUGCAAGUGCUGUGACUUGUGCUUGAAGCACAGAAGGGAAGAGGAAGCAGGCAUUCUUUCACACUCUUUGUAAAUUUUAUGUCAACUUUCCAGGAAAAACAUUAUUAGAAGUUGUACGAUGCCUUAUGUAUGGAAAUUGUUCAGGAAAAAGCAACAUGAAAAUCACUCUUAAGAUUGUAAUGCUGGGCAGGUGGGAUGGCUCAGUAAGCAAAGGCACUCACUGCCAAGGGUCAUGAUUUGAGCUUGGUCUCCGAGACCCACAUGGUGGAAGAAGAGAACCAGCUCCCAUGAGUUGUCCUCUGGCCUCACAUGUGUGCCUUGCCAUGCAUGCCCUGCUCCAAAAUAAACACACCAUAGAAGAAUAAUGUCUGUCCCCUGCAGAACAGGGAAGAGACACUCAGUUUGUUCCCAAGAUUUCUGUGAAGUCCUUAUUUAGGUCUGAAAUUGCACAUGUGACUAGGAUUAGUUUUGGGGAAAAAAAAAUUAGUACAAAAGAGAACAUUUAUCAACCACAGUAUAGCUACUGAAACAGAUUCUACAAAACAAAGCAGAAUUACCUGACCUUGACUGCUAUGUCUGACUGCAUUACCUACUCUGAAUAUGAGUUUAUCAUAGCAAGACCCAAGAUACCUGUACACUUUUAAGCUAUUAACUACAAGAAAUAAGACCACUGUUUCACAAACAUUUCAAGUCAAUUCUGCUCUGUGGACACACACAGAUGAUUAUUGCUCCAUUUGUCUUUUCUCUUUUAAUAGGAAGUAGCUGCUACUGACAACAUUCUUUGACUAGAAUAAGUGAAGGUCUGUUUGCCUUGCAUGAUAUUAAAUUAAAUCUGUCUAAGAGAUAAACAACUUAAACUUCAAUGGCUCACAUUCACGAGUGCUUCUGUGCUAAUAUUUAAAUAAUGCAUCUAUCUUUCAGAGUCUGAUUUAAUGGUUUUGGCUGUCUUUGGUUUUAGGCUUUUGCAGAAAGCUGUCGUGUGGUCUUCAGGACCCAUGAGACAGCUCAAGGGGUAAAGGUCAUUGAAGCUUGAUGCUCCCUGGGACCCACAUAUAGAGGGAGAGGACCAACCUUUAAAAAUUGGUCCUCUGACCUUGGAACACAUGUAACCCACCCUUCCCCGAAAUAAAGAAUAUGUUAAAUUAAUCCUCUCUUUACCAGAAAAGUGAAAGUAUUCUAAUAAUUCUUGUUUACCUGAAAGAGCAACAACCAUAUGUGAAUGUUACCUGAGACUCUUCUACUAGGUAUUUGUUAAUUGGUUUAGAUUGCAACUUAAUCAUAAAGAUGCCUUGCAAGGAGGAGCUCCCUGGAAUAUUCUUUCUGUAGAUCUGAUAAAAGCACAGCAUCGCAUGUGCCUAAAAACAGAUUUACAGCAUGUCAUUCCCACCUGUUUGAAUGACUUUUCAUUUUCCACAUGGAGGAAGGUAAGGCCAUCCCUGUCCCUGCUAGAAUCUAUAUGAAUACAGUAUUCACCUUUAUUUCAUGCAUCAGACAAACUGAAGUGUGACUAGAAUGUAUUUUCUUUUUUUCAAAAAUUAUCCUCUUUUUUGGCAUGUAUUUUUAUACUAUCACCUCUUGGGAGAGAGUUUGUAUAAUAUACAGGAUAAUGUACAUAUUAUGUGAUAUGUAGCAUCUAUUAUAUACAAUCUAUAGAUAAUAUUUGUCAUUUCUGUAAUACAUACAUGUUAUAGAGAAAGAGGGCUCAGCAGGCGAAGGGCACAUGGUACCAAGCCUGAACCCCCAAGUUGGAUCCCUGAAACAUUCCCCACAACCUCAUGUGGAAGACAGAACCAAUUUCCCCAAGUCCUCUAAUGUCCAAGGUGGUAUCUUGUUAUAUACACAAUAAAUACAUACAGUUUUAAAAUGGGAAAAAUCAAGCCAGAUUUGGUGGUGCAUGCCUUUAAUCCCAGCACUGGGGAGACAGGCGGAUCUCUGUGAGUCUGGUCUACAAAGUGAGUUCCAGGAUAGCCAGAGCUGUCACACAGAGAAAACUCAUUUUGAGAAACCAAAUAAAUAAAUAAACAUAAUAAAAAAUAAAAUGGGAAAAUUAUAUAUGCAUAUGUAUAUAUUUAUAAAUGUACAUGUGUACAGAAACUAACUUUGGCUCAUGAGAUAAGAUAGUGUAAGAAAAAAUGUAGGAAUCCCACAACUAUUCCUUCAUUUUCUUGGAUAAUUUUCUAAAUUAAGAACUUCAGUUUCAUUUGCAAAAUGGGGCCAGUCAUAUCUGCUUUUUGGAUUAUUAUGAAGAUAAAAUUACUAUACCAUGUAAGCAUCUGGACAGAUUGUAGAGAUUAGAAACUUUGAACCACUUUCUCUGCUUUUCUGUUGUUGAUUAUGUUAGCAGGGCAAAGCAAACCAUUCUAAUAAGACCAAGAAAAAUAAUAAGACUGUACUUUUAUUCCUAGACUGUGUAAGACAGUCAGAUGGAACAAGAUUUAUCUUCCAGAGAUAAUGAUAAUAUUAUUUCUUUUGUUUUCUCAAAAACAACACAGGUAUAUUCUUUUAAAGUCCACCAAAACUGCUGGGGUUUGACAAAUUGUUUUCAUGAGUGGAGUUGAAGUCUUGUUUCAAGAUUUUAAGAAGAGAUUUAUUUAACUUUAUCUUAUGUGUAUGCUCUCCUGCAUGUAUAUAUGUGCACCUUGUGCAUGCCUAGUGUCCUCAGAAGCCAACAGAAGAUGUCAAGUCUACUGUUGCAGACAGUUGGGAGCUGCCAUGUAGGUGAUGAGAACUGAAUCCAUGUCCUGUGCAAGAGCAAGAGUCAGAGUUCAUGAUGGCAGAGGCAUGGCAGCAGAAACAGCUGAAAGCUCACAUCUUGAUCCACAAGCAGGAGGCAGAGAGCAUAUUGGAAAUGAGUUGUAAGUGGAAAUGCCCUGUGACAUUUCAGGAUCCUUCAGCGGGCAUGCAGUCAUUGAUCCUUCUCAAUCCUUCCUUCUGGCUUGCUGCACACAUGUAUGGAAUGGCUGUCAUGCCACCUCAGAGCCUAAGUGAAGACCAAACCCAUGAACACUAGGGCAGAAAGCCAGUCAAGACCUAAGUCUCUAAGAAUGCUUGCAUAACACUCUCUUGGAUUGUUUACCUCUCAAAUUUUGCCUAAAAACAAGUAAGCUAUGAGUGUAUUUAAAGCACUGUUAUUUGAAUUUCAAUUAUUCACAUGUGGUCAUUAUCCUAACUAAUCUAGUAAGCAAACAAUGAAUUCCAGAUAACUGACAGUCUGAAAGUUUGUGUAUGAACAUCUAGAACCAAUUAAAUAUGAUAUAAUGCAUCUCAUUCAAGAUUUUGUCAGUUCUUAAGAGGUGGAACUGGAUAGAAAAGAGGAUAAAUUAACUCUAUAACUUGUUUUUUAUAAUUAAGUAAAAUGCAUAGUCAAUUUUAGAGUUCUAAAAGUGUAUUUUGUAUCCCAUUACUCUGUAAUUUCUUAUUCUUUAAUGUCUCUAGAUUAAAUUCUUUCCUGUAUUAUUAUUGAUAUUUUUGUAGAAUAGGUGAAGUUCCAAAGCAGGUGUUGUUAAUCUUGGUUGUUCUUGUUAGCUGCAAUUAGCAGUUCUGGAACCAUAGGGCAUUUGUACAAACACAAUGUGGCUUUGAUUUAUGCCAUGUAUAUACACUUGA